GACGAACCGUCCGAACGUUAUUCGGAAUUACUGGGCUUAAAGGGUGCGUAGGCGGUGCUACAAGUCGGGUGUGAAAGCCCUCAGCUUAACUGAGGAACAGCGCCCGAAACUGUAGUGCUGGAGGGAGACAGGGGUGAGCGGAACUGAUGGUGGAGCGGUGAAAUGUGUUGAUAUCAUCAGGAACACCGGUGGCGAAGGCGGCUCACUGGGUCUCUUCUGACGCUGAGGCACGAAAGCUAGGGGAGCAAACGGG
rnacentral:rRNA from 1 species